UUCGACGCAACGCGAGAAACCUUANCAGCGUUUGACAUCCUAAGAAGUUUCCAGAGAUGGAUUCGUGCCGGCUUGCCGGAACUUUAGUGACAGGUGGUGCAUGGCUGUCGUCAGCUCGUGUCGUGAGAUGUUNGGGUUAAGUCCCGCAACGAGCGCAACCCCUAUUGUAUGUUGCUACCAUNNNNNUGANCNNNCCNNNNNAUACUGCCUGCGAUGAGCAGGAGGAAGGUGGGGAUGACGUCAAGUCAUCAUGCCCCUUAUACGCUGGGCUACACACGUGCUACAAUGGGCAGUACAGAGAGUUGCCAACCCGCGAGGGUGAGCUAAUCUCUUAAAGCUGUUCUUAGUUCGGAUUGUACUCUGCAACUCGAGUACAUGAAGUUGGAAUCGCUAGUAAUCGCAAAUCAGCAUGUUGCGGUGAAUACGUUCUCGGGUCUUGUACACACCGCCCGUCACACCACGAGAGUUGGUUGCACCUGAAGUAGCAGGCCUAACCGUAAGGAGGGAUGUUCCUAAGGUGUGAUUAGCGAUUGGGGUG
rnacentral:rRNA from 1 species